GCAUGCAAAUGAGCAAUGCUAAGCCGCGCUAAGCCGUGCUAAGCCGUCUUUCAUUUUGGGAAAAUGAAAAAAAAAUUUGUUAUAGAUCGACAGAGAAAGGUUCAUAACGCAUAUUGAUGCAGACCGUUUUGGCACAAGAGAAUUUUAAAGGGUAUUUUGAGAUGAUUUUGUUAGUACAAGGCGCAUGCAAAUGAGCCGUGCUAAGCCGUCUUUCAUUUCGAGAAAAUGAAAAAAAAAAUUCUUAUAGAUCGACAGAGAAAGGUUCAAAACGUAUAUUGAUGCAGAACGUUUUGUCACAAGAGAAGUUUAAAGCGU
rnacentral:lncRNA from 1 species